CUUCCCGACCACGGAAGUUAAGCCCGUUUGCGCCGAUGGUACUUGGGGGGAGACCCCCUGGGAGAGUAGGUCGCCGCCGGUU
rnacentral:rRNA from 1 species